rnacentral:rRNA from 1 species
GAUGAACGCUAGCGGCAGGCCUAACACAUGCAAGUCGAGGGAGAAGCCCUUCGGGGCAGAAACCGGCGCACGGGUGCGUAACGCGUAUGCAACCUACCUUUCACAGGGGGAUAGCCCGGAGAAAUUUGGAUUAAUAUCCCAUAAUAUUGUUGGAUGGCAUCAUUUGGCAAUUAAAGUUACGAUGGUGGAAGAUGGGCAUGCGUCCUAUUAGCUAGUUGGCGAGGUAACGGCUAGCCAAGGCGACGAUAGGUAGGGGUCCUGAGAGGGAGAUCCCCCACACUGGUACUGAGACAGGGACCAGACUCCUACGGGAGGCAGCAGUGAGGAAUAUUGGUCAAUGGUCGGAAGACUGAACCAGCCAUGCAGCGUGCAGGAAGGCGGCCUUAUGGGUUGUAAACUGCUUUUAUAUGGGAAGAAUAAGCUGUAAAUCACGGUACCAUAUGAAUAAGCAUCGGCUAACUCCGUGCCAGCAGCCGCGGUAAUACGGAGGAUGCGAGCGUUAUUCGGAAUCAUUGGGUUUAAAGGGUCUGUAGGCGGGCUAUUAAGUCAGGGGUGAAAUAUUUCAGCUUAACUGGGAAAUUGCCUUUGAUACUGGUAGUCUUGGAUAUUUGUGAAGUUUUUGGAAUGUGUAGUGUAGCGGUGAAAUGCAUAGAUAUUACACAGAACACCGAUUGCGGAGGCAGGGGACUAACAAAUAAUUGACGCUGAGAGACGAGAGCGUGGGGAGCGAACAGGAUUAGAUACCCUGGUAGUCCACGCUGUAAACGAUGGAUACUAGCUGUUUGGUAGGAAUAUUGAGUGGCUAAGCGAAAGUGAUAAGUAUCCCACCUGGGGAGUACGCACGCAAGUGUGAAACUCAAAGGAAUUGACGGGGGCCCGCACAAGCGGUGGAGCAUGAGGUUUAAUUCGAUGAUACGCGAGGAACCUUACCAAGGUUUAAAUGGUGACUGACGUACCUAGAGAUGGGUAUUUCUGC